GGGGUUGUGGCUCAGUGGUAGAGCAUUUGCCUAACAUAUGCAAGGCCCUGGGUUCGAUCCUCAGCACCA
rnacentral:tRNA from 1 species